AAAAAGUAAAAACUUUUAAUAUUUCCUGUAAAGAAAUAUUGUAUCGUAUAGCAUAGAUUUGCUAGAUAAAGUCAUUAAAAACCUUUUCAUUUGACAACGUAUGCUUUACAAAAUUUUUUAAAUAACCCGUCCGACUCGUUUUGUCGUUGCUGCAAACCAGCCAUAGCGGUAAUGGGUUCAUGACUUCUGACAGUGUCCGUGAAAAAUAAACUCCACAUGAUUUUUAACCCCAUAACAAUUACCAACAGUAGCAAGAAAACUACAUGGGGACCUUCAUGAUAGCUAUUGGUCAUUCUCGACUAAGGGAAAGGGAGGGGCAUGAGGGCUUGGCCUUUGAAGAGUUACAAACGGCAAUUAUUGAAAAUACAUGUAUACAUACUUCUAUUAUAUAGUAUUUAUAAUGAAAAUUCAAAUAAAUAUAAUUUAAAUAAGCAAUGAAUUAGCAUGUUCACCUACAUGUCUCCUUAUGUGGAGGGAUGAAAUACUUUCGAUCGCGCUACAAUGUACAGCAUAGAUACGGUUUAUGAUGGUGAAAGUUCCUCCAUCGUUCAAUUUUCAUCCAUUGAGAUCCCUGCUAUGAAUUGAAUUUGUGUUCAGGAAGCCAAGC
rnacentral:lncRNA from 1 species